CCUUCCAAAUAAAAACAAAAAAAUAAAAAGGUUUUUCUGGGUUCCACGAUUCCAUGAAGGUGAAUUUAGUUCAUUUCCUAUGUUAGUUGUUCCUAUACGGGUUUACAUCGCCUACACCAUCCACUGUGAAUAUGUGCCUCCUUGUGCAUUAUCUCCAAGUAAAAACUAACGUGCAACUAGGGCUAACAAGAACAUUUGUUAAGCAGACCAAACAUUAUUGUGCUUUUAUUACCACCGAACCCGCGAGUGUUUGUGCAAAACUAUCGUCGAAAGAAAGUUGCUUUGAUCUUUGUAGCCAACGAAAAAAAGACGGAGAUUCUGAGGUGAACAGGUGAUCACAUAUUUCUUUGGGAAUCAGUCCUAUCGUGCUUCCUAGACUAGGACAGUAACCCUAACAGCACGCCGUUGUAGAAAUUUAUGGCUGAUUUGUUCAACCUGGAACAUUGCGGUCUGGCGUCCAAAUAUGAGGAAAUCUAUCGUCCCCGCUGAGGAUUUAUUCAAGACCGUGAGAAAAAAUUUUGAUCUGUCUUCGACGUUCGACUCCAAGCUAAAAAAAAGGGGAGAGGGUAUUAAAAAAGGAAAACAUUGAAUUAAAAAACAACAUCAGUCAACAGUCAUUCUGGGCAUUUAGUCGGUGAUGCAUGUACAGCUGCUGUAGUGCGUUUGUUCUUUCGAAUAAAUUUUGUAAAAUGUG